GGCCCCAUCGUCUAGCCUGGUCAGGACACAUGGUUCUCAGCCAUGAAACGCGGGUUCGAAUCCCGCUGGGGCUA
rnacentral:tRNA from 1 species